GGAGAGGUGGCAGAGUGGUCGAUCGCGCCGCACUCGAAAUGCGGAGUCCGUGCAAGCGGACCGGGGGUUCAAAUCCCUCCCUCUCCGCCA
rnacentral:tRNA from 1 species